rnacentral:rRNA from 1 species
GACGAACGCUGGCGGCGUGCUUAACACAUGCAAGUCGAACGGAAAGGCCCUGCUUUUGUGGGGUGCUCGAGUGGCUAACGGGUGAGUAACACGUGAGUAACCUGCCCUUGACUUUGGGAUAACUUCAGGAAACUGGGGCUAAUACCGGAUAGGAGCUCCUGCUGCAUGGUGGGGGUUGGACAGUUUCGGCGGUUGGGGAUGGACUCGCGGCUUAUCAGCUUGUUGGUGGGGUAGUGGCUUACCAAGGCUUUGACGGGUAGCCGGCCUGAGAGGGUGACCGGCCACAUUGGGACGGAGAUACGGCCCAGACUCAUACGGGAGGCAGAAGUGGGGAAUAUUGCACAAUGGGCGGAAGCAUGAUGCAGCAACGCCGCGUGCGGGAUGACGGCCUUCGGGUUAUAAACCGCUUUCGCCUGUGAAGAAGAGUGAGUGACGGUAAUGGGUAAAGAAGCACCGGCUAACUACGUG